rnacentral:rRNA from 1 species
GGGAUUUGCGCAUGGGCGAANCCUGNCGCAGCAACGCCGCGUGGAGGAUGAAGGCCUUCGGGUCGUAAACUCCUGUCAGGGGGGACGAAAGCCUUAGCGGGUUUGACUGUACCCUCUGAGGAAGCCACGGCUAACUCCGUGCCAGCAGCCGCGGUAAUACGGAGGUGGCAAGCGUUGUUCGGAAUUACUGGGCGUAAAGGGCGCGUAGGCGGCAUGGCAAGUCAGAUGUGAAAGCCCCGGGCUUAACUCGGGAAUUGCAUCUGAAACUGCUUUGCUUGAGUCCUGGAGGGGAUAGUGGAAUUCCCAGUGUAGCGGUGAAAUGCGUAGAUAUUGGGAGGAACACCUGCGGCGAAGGCGGCUAUCUGGACAGUGACUGACGCUGAGGCGCGAAAGCUAGGGGAGCGAACGGGAUUAGAUACCCCGGUAGUCCUAGCCGUAAACGAUGGGCACUUGGUGUUGGGGGUAUUGAGUCCCUCGGUGCCGGAGUUAACACGUUAAGUGCCCCGCCUGGGGAGUACGGUCGCAAGACUGAAACUCAAAAGAAUUGACGGA